UAGAUGGAUCUGAGUUCCAAUUUCAGCACCAUUACUUACUAGCCUGGGACACAGGGCUGCUCCCUUACUUUCGCACAGCUCUGUUGGAUCAAGUAUGCAAUGGGGGUAAUGAUUUCUAACUCAAAGAUGGUGGUGAUUUGCUUAGUCAGAUCGAUAUCUCUAAAUAAAGAACCAUUGAAGAUUUAAAUAAUCAGCAUGAACUUUACUGCUCACCGUGUACUGAGCAGCGCCAGCUUUGAAGGCUAAGGUGUGAAAAACCAUACCGGGACUCCCUUUCCCAAAUAGAAUGGAUGCAGAGGACCCCGAGGAAUACAUUCAUGUUAGUUGUGGAGCAGUGCCAGGGGCUCAGCAUUCACCAACUCUGUGUGGCUGUCCCCACCAGGAGUCCUUUCACAAGGAAAAUCACUGAAAAUAGAGCAACUGCAAAUAAGCAAAUGUGCAUAUCAGAACAAGUUGGCAACCAUUCAAUACUGGGGCAAUUUCCAAACUACAGCUUGUGUCCAAAUGGAUGUGCUCCUUCACCCAGCAAGCCCCUCAGUAGGCCGAACACAAGUAGUGUGACCUUUCAGACCCCCGGAAGUUCUGGCAGAGGCCAACGUGAUGUGAGUCCCCAUCACCC